rnacentral:rRNA from 1 species
GUAGUCUCGCACAGAUGCAUAUCAAUAAGCGGAGGAAAAGAAACCUAACAAGGAUUCCCCUAGUAACGGCGAGUGAAGCGGGAAGAGCUCAAAUUUGAAAUCUUAAAGGGUUUCCCUUUACGAAUUGUAGUUUAAAGAAGUGUUUUCUGUUGAGGUUUUGGUAAAAGUUCUUUGGAAUAGGACAUCAUAGAGGGUGAGAAUCCCGUAUUUGACCUUUACUUUCAACUUUGUGAUACACUUUCAAAGAGUCGGAUUGUUUGGGAAUGCAGUCCAAAAUGGGUGGUAAAUUUCAUCUAAAGCUAAAUAUUGGCGAGAGACCGAUAGCGAACAAGUACCGUGAGGGAAAGAUGAAAAGAACUUUGAAAAGAGAGUUAAACAGUACGUGAAAUUGUCAAAAGGGAAGCGUUUGACACCAGUGUUGUUUUUCUGAAAAUCAAUUAAAGAACUGUUUAUGCUAAGUUGUUUAGACUUUAUCAGCUAACUGUUUAGUUUUGAGCUUUUCUUUAAUGCACUUUUCAGUUAACAAGUCAACAUCAAUUUCUUUUGCUGUAAAAAAGCUUGAGGAAGGUGGCUUGAGAUUCGUCUUAAGUGUUUAUAGCCUCUUGCCUAUGCAGUCGGAGAGAUUGAGGUCUGCAGCGUAGAUCCUUCGGGGCUAAAUGCAUUUGUGCUAAGUUAUAACAUUUUAUAGACAACUUGUUGACUAUGAUUUGUCUUGUAGCUUACUCGCUUAUGUUAUUUUACCUACGCUUAGGAUGUUGAUCUGUAGUGCGUGCGC